GACAGAGGGUGCAAACGUUGUUCGGAAUUACUGGGCAUAAAGCGCACGUAGGUGGUCCACUAAGUCGAGUGUGAAAUCCCCCGGCUCAACCGGGGAAUGGCGCUCGAUACUGGUGGGCUAGAGGUCGGUAGGGGUGAGCGGAACUCCUGGUGUAGCGGUGAAAUGCGCAGAUAUCAGGAGGAACACCGGUGGCGAAGGCGGGUCUCUGGGCCGUAACUGACGCUGAGGCGCGAAAGCGUGGGGAGCGAACAGG
rnacentral:rRNA from 1 species